rnacentral:tRNA from 1 species
GGGGCCGUAGCUCAGUUGGGAGAGCGCCUGCAUGGCAUGCAGGAGGUCGUGAGUUCGAAUCUCAUCGGCUCCA